UCUAAAAUGGCAGAAUAAUGCAAUAGACUUAAACCCUAUGUAUAAAUUUAUAUUUUUUUAGAA
rnacentral:tRNA from 1 species